rnacentral:hammerhead_ribozyme from 1 species
GCACUGCUGAGGAGUCCCAUAAUAGGACGAAACGACCAUCCAGUAC